rnacentral:rRNA from 1 species
UAACCUCAGGAAGGAAAUAAUCCCGGGAAACUGGGAAUAAUGUCCUAUAGGCAAUUAUGGCUGGAAGGCCUUUUUGCUCAAAGCCGCAAGGUACCUGAGGAUGGGACUGCGGCAGGUUAGCCUGAUGUUGGGGUAAAUGCCCAACAUAGCUAUAAUCUGUACGGGUCGUGAGAGCGAAGGCCCGGAGAUGGUUUCUGAGACAUGAAGCCAGGCUCUACGGAGCGCAGCAGGUACGAAAACUUUCCAAUGCGCGCAAGCGUGAGAAGGGAAUCCUGAGUGGGUCCACUUUUAGUGAACCCUUUUCUCGAAUCUAAAAAGUUCGGGGAAUAAGUGGUGGGCAAUACGGUUGCCAGCCGCCGCGGUAAUAACCGAGCCACGAGUAGUAGUCACGUUUAUUUGGCCUAAAGCGCCCGUAGCCGGCUUGGUGUGUCUCUGGUGAAAUCUGGCAGCAAACUGUCAGGCUUGCUGGAGAUACUAUCAGGCUUGAGAUCGGGAGAGGUCGAUUGUAUUCCACGGGUAGGGGUAAAAUCCUUUAAUCCGUGGAGGACAACCUGUGGCGAAGGCGAUCGACUGGAACGAGUCUGACGGUGAGGGGCGAAAGCUAGGGGAGCGAUCGGGAUUAGAUACCCCGGUAGUCCUAGCUGUUAACGAUGCCCGUUUGGUGUUGCGGUUUCUUCGUGAAAUCGCAGUGCCGUAGCGAAGGCGUUAAACGGGCCGCCUGGGGAGUACGGCCGCAAGGUUGAAACUUAAGGGAAUUGGCGGGGGAGCACACCAGGAGUGGAGGCUGCGGUUCAAUUGGAUUCAACGCCAGGAACCUGACCAGGAAAGACAGCAGGAUGAGGGUCAGCUGAAAGGGCUUACCUGACAAGCUGAGAGGUGCUACAUGGCCGUCGUCAGUUCGUGCCGUGAGGUGUCUUGUUAAGUCAAGAAACGAACGAGACCCACGCCAAUAGUUGCUACUUUUGUCUACGGACGAAAGGCACUCUAGUGGGACUGCCCGCGCUAAGUGGGAGGAAGGGGUGGGCGACGGCAGGUCUGCACGGCCCUAAUUUCCUUGGGCUACACGCGGCCUACAAUGCGUAGGACAAUGAGAUGCAACUCCGUAAGGAGAAGCUAAUCCCUUAAACCUACGCCUAGUUCAGAUCGUGGGCUGCAACUCGCCCACGUGAAGCCGGAAUUCCUAGUAAGCGAAGGUCAUCAUCUUUCGCUGAUACGUCCCUGCUCCUUGCACACACCGCCCGUCAAGCCAUCUGAGUGAGGUCUUGGUGACGCUUGCGCUGAGCAAGUCAAAUCAAGUCUUUGCAAGGAGGGCUAAGUCGUAACAAGGUAGCCGUACCGGAAGGUGCGGCUG